rnacentral:rRNA from 1 species
CCCUCUCGGGUUACCGAAUUCAGACAAACUCCGAAUGCCAAUUAAUUUAACUUGGGAGUCAGAACAUGGGUGAUAAGGUCCGUGUUCGAAAGGGAAACAGCCCAGACCACCAGCUAAGGUCCCAAAAUAUAUGUUAAGUGGAAAAGGAUGUGGCGUUGCCCAGACAACUAGGAUGUUGGCUUAGAAGCAGCCAUCAUUUAAAGAGUGCGUAAUAGCUCACUAGUCGAGUGACACUGCGCCGAAAAUGUACCGGGGCUAAACAUAUUACCGAAGCUGUGGAUUGUCCUUUGGACAAUGGUAGGAGAGCGUUCUAAGGGCGUUGAAGCAUGAUCGUAAGGACAUGUGGAGCGCUUAGAAGUGAGAAUGCCGGUGUGAGUAGCGAAAGACGGGUGAGAAUCCCGUCCACCGAUUGACUAAGGUUUCCAGAGGAAGGCUCGUCCGCUCUGGGUUAGUCGGGUCCUAAGCUGAGGCCGACAGGCGUAGGCGAUGGAUAACAGGUUGAUAUUCCUGUACCACCUAUAAUCGUUUUAAUCGAUGGGGGGACGCAGUAGGAUAGGCGAAGCGUGCGAUUGGAUUGCACGUCUAAGCAGUAAGGCUGAGUAUUAGGCAAAUCCGGUACUCGUUAAGGCUGAGCUGUGAUGGGGAGAAGACAUUG